rnacentral:misc_RNA from 1 species
GAUGAAGAACGUAGCGAAAUGCGAUAAGUAAUGCGAAUUGCAGAAUUUCCGUGAAUCAUCGAGUCUUUGAACGCACAUUGCGCCCCCUGGUAUUCCGGGGGGCAUGCCUGUCCGAGCGUCAUUGCUGCCCUCAAGCACGGCUUGUGUGUUGGGCCUCCGUCCUCCUCCCGGGGGACGGGCCCGAAAGGCAGCGGCGGCACCGCGUCCGGUCCUCGAGCGUAUGGGGCUUCGUCACCCGCUCUUGUAGGCCCGGCCGGCGCUUGCCGACACAUCAAUCUUUUUUCCAGGUUGACCUCGGAUCAGGUAGGGAUACCCGCUGAACUUAAGCAUAUCAAUAAGCGGAGGA